GACGAACGCUGGCGGCGUGCUUAACACAUGCAAGUCGAACGGAAAGGCCCUGCUUUUGUGGGGUGCUCGAGUGGCGAACGGGUGAGUAACACGUGAGUAACCUGCCCUUGACUUUGGGAUAACUUCAGGAAACUGGGGCUAAUACCGGAUAGGAGCUCCUGCUGCAUGGUGGGGGUUGGAAAGUUUCGGCGGUUGGGGAUGGACUCGCGGCUUAUCAGCUUGUUGGUGGGGUAGUGGCUUACCAAGGCUUUGACGGGUAGCCGGCCUGAGAGGGUGACCGGCCACAUUGGGACUGAGAUACGGCCCAGACUCCUACGUGAGGCAGCAGUGGGGAAUAGUGCACAAUGGGCGGAAGCCUGAUGCAGCAACGCCGCGUGCGGGAUGACGGCCUUCGGGUUGUAAACCGCUUUCGCCUGUGACGAAGCGUGAGUGACGGUAAUGGGUAAAGAAGCACCGGCUAACUACGG
rnacentral:rRNA from 1 species